rnacentral:lncRNA from 1 species
CUCAGUCAUCUCCAUUGCAGGGCCAGCCACAGCUCUUACAGGACAGCUGUAAGAACAAGAGUUCUGGGAGGCUUUCAAUUACACCCAUCUCCAAGUGGAACUCUCCAGGCUAAGAGGAUGAUGACCACCAGCAGCCUGACUGUGCCGUGAGCAUCUGCAGCUGGCCAGGGCCUCAGGGAGGCUGUGGGAAGGUGGAGAGAGAGGCAGCCCAGCCGGCAGCUGGGCGAAGAGCCUCCCAGCACAGAUCUCUUUUUAUCAGCGC